rnacentral:lncRNA from 1 species
AUGAAAUGACAUAUAUAUACCCCUCAUACUAACAGUAGGGGCAUAUGUGUAUCAAAAAUAUGACAGAGGGCAUAUACGUAUCAUUUAUCAUAGUUCGGGGGUAUAUUUAUCCCCUUUUUAAUUCAAACAUUUUCAUUCAAAAUAAUUAAUCCAAACCCAUUAAUCGGCCAAAUAAAUCAAUUACCUGACCUGAUUUCAAUUAAAAUCUAAGAAUCGCCUAUCUAACAGAUGUAUUUUUCUCACCCAUAUAAUGAUAUACACACACCAU